rnacentral:miRNA from 1 species
AGUUCUUGUAGGGUGAGACAAC